CUCCCCAUAGUGUAGUGGUUUAACACGCCUGGCUGUAAUGUUCAGAAUGUUUUCCAGGAGACCCUCGUUCGAUUCUUGGUGGGGAGA